GGGGUAGAAGCUGUUCGUGGUCCUGUUCGUUCCAGACCCAUUUAGACAUGUCUCUAGAAAUGUAACGAUAGUCUACAAUUUAAAUACAUUUUAAGUGGCAAGAAUAAAUGCUAGAGUAGCCUAUUAUGCUUACAUUUAGGUCUCCCAAAACAGGUAGGCAUAUAACGCAUCAUUUUGACAAGCAAUAUUAUUUUGUAGAUUUAGUAAAUUUCAAGGGACCAACGCAACAAAUUCAAGGAUUUUGGCAACAUUAAAAAUCCCUGGUUCUAGGAGGAGGGCUUAAAUCAAUCAGCGCUAACUUCGACCAAUCCUGUUGACUGUGGGAGGAGACAGAAUUGCAAGGGGGUGUGUCUCUAGACAGUACGCAGUCGCUUAGUACCGUAUCCAACUCCGAGAGUAAUGAAUGGCAUGAGCAUUGCUUUACUAUUUUUGACAAGCCAUAUCAAAGCGCUACCUUGGAACAUACGCUACCUUCUAUCGGUUUGAACUUUUAUUCACAUUUAUUCACUAGGCAUAAACCAGACAAGGAGAAGAAGAAGACCGAGUUGGACUAAUUAGCCUACUACUAACUCGAAUCAAUAACUUAACCGCAAACUGACACAAGCUUCUACAUUUUCAUAUUUGUCAAGCCGAAAGGGAUUUUGUUUCUGGACAUGUGAAUCAAAGGAGUUACUGCGAACCCCUGAAAAUGAAGCUACUUGCAUCGGUUCUGUGUUGCUUGGGCUUUCUGCUCACUUCUGCGCUGUUUCGGAGGAUCUCUUCACAAGCAGGUAAGAGAUUGUCAUCUUUUCUCUCUCAUUCUGGCAUCGUGCGCUAUGAACUGAAUCCGGAUUUAAAAUGGCUGAAAUAUGUGUUCAAAAACAUUAACAUCCAUGCAGGAUUUACACAAAUUUUAGUUACAAGAAUAUAUUUCAGGAUUCUGCCCUGUGCUAUCGAAUCUAGCCUUAGGAAGAGACAGUGCAUCCUCUUAAAACCAUAGCCUCAGGACUGCUGAUACAGUACUGGAACAUUAAUGAUAGUGAGGAUACAAGGUGUAACACAGAACUCAGGACUGGGUGAUCAGUUGACGGCAUACACUAGUAAUAGCUAAGUUUCCCUCAGCUGUAGAAACAGGAGUACAGAACUCUGCUUUUUCACCAUAAAGCAGUCUUUAUGAGUCCUUGGAAACCAGUGAGUCCUUGGAAACCAGACAGUUAUCAGGAACAAUGGCUUGUCUGGAGAACGCAGUUGUGGCCCCACAAACAGCAUACAUGCAAGCACGCAUGCACACACACACACACACACACACACACACACGCACACGCACACGCACACGCACACGCACACGCACACGCACACGCACACGCACACACAAUCACACGCACACACAAUCACACGCACACACAAUCACACGCAUAAGCACACACACACAUGCACACACUGCUCCGGCACCACACAUGCUCUGAGUGUUUGACCAUGGACAGUUCCCUCAUCUCUAACUGACCAUGAACACACCUGACGCUAAAGAAAAAUAUGCUGAACAAGAUGCUGUACUCUACUGUCUGAUCCUCUGAUGCUGACCACUGAACACGCCCUAGACGCUCCUCAAAAGGCAAGUCUCUUUUCUUCCAACCCUAUUAUCGUCUUUGUUCAGCAUGAGUGUCCUUGAAAACCUCGUUAAGACAAUCAAUCCCUUAUUAAAGACAUAGAGCUAGCUUAGCCAUCCGUCCACCCUCAGUGCACUUUAAUCAAAACCCUCCCCUUUAAAAGCCACUGAGUUGCUGAGUGGGACAAAAUAUUUCCAGGCUUUGUGCACUUAAUGUACGGUGGGGAGGUGUGAAUAUGCCACUCUUGCAUAUUCUGUGGAUGUAACACAUCUCUCAGUCAUUUGCAUGAAUACAAAAAAUAUAUUCAGCUGGAAGAAGAUACAUCAGCGUCUGAUGAUGCUGAGCUAAUUGUAUGGAUUCACAGAGAUCAAUCGCUUAUUAUGAUGAAAAGGAAAACCGACCAGAGAUAAUACAGAGAGUCUGCUGGCUGUUUGUAGGGGUCGAGGCUGCGUGUCUCAAAUGUCACGCUUUUCCCUAUAUAAUAAGCACUACUUUGACUGGAACCUAUGGGCAGCCGCUACUAAGUAGUGCACUACAUAGGGAAUAGGGUGCCAUUUGGAACGCAGACAGAGUCUGCUGGCUGUUUCGUUGUGGCGGAGACCUGAGUUUUCCUUCUAAUGAUGGUGGCAGAUCAGCUGAAUGGGAUUGACCUCUGUGUCAUCAUACUUAGCUAAUGUGCUGGGUGUGCAGGACUGACCCUGUGGACCUCACUGACCCCUUGGCCCCUGGCUGGACAGGAAUGGACAGGAAUAAAGAGAGGAAAGGGGACAGUCAAAGGCUUCGGGGGGUGAGUUUGCAAUGAGGCAGGUCAUGUGUCAGCAGUACAGUUGGAGUGUGAACAAGGGACUACAGGGAGUAGAGGGGAGGAGGAGGGAGCAGAGGGGGAGGAGAGGGGAAGUGGAGGGAGUAAGGAAUAAAUUGUUGUCUGGGAGUGCCAGGGAGAGAGAGAUAGACAGCCAGGCUGGCAGUGCCUCAUUUAAACAAUCUGACAAACACAGGAACAGGGCAUAGGGAGAGAGAGCGGGAGGGAGGGAGCCACCACACAUGGUUAGAGGUUCACCAUCAUGGCCCCCAUGGCACCUGGCCCCUGGCUCUGCUUUUGGUAUAAUGUAAGAAUGUUAGGGUUAGAGGAUUGACCAGGCACAACAGUGGACCUCGAAGCUGGCAUACAGAGAAGCUUUUUUUCUAUGGUUGCACCAUGGAACCUAAACGUAAGUCUGUCAAAAUGGAACAGACCUUUCUGCCAAACGUUGACUUGUCACCUGUCACCAUGGUGCUGUCACAUUUGUAAUGGCAGCCCAAUGCUCAGCCAUGCAGCAGACUGACUGACUGACUGACUCAUAACAGCCAGCUCUGUUCUGUAGUGUGGACCACCCUCUUUCACCCUCCUCUUCUCCCUUCCCUUCCUCUGUUAAUGCUUAUGUAUAUGGUUGAGCAGACAGCCUGGGCACCUGACCAAUAGUGAAGCAAAGAUGAACUCAAUUACAUGCAGUAUUUAAAUGACAGAUUAUGCCUGUGUAUAUUUGUGGGAGCCAAACAAAGGUUGUAAUAUAAACUUGGGGGUAUGGGGAAAUGGGGAUAGAGAGAAACAUAGAUAUUGAGAUGGAGAGAGUGUGUUAGCGGAGUAGAUUUAUGGAAAUGUUAUGUGGGGGUUGGAUAGCAUAUGAGAGACCUCUCCAGAAACUGCAUAAUACAACAAAAGAAGGAGAUGAUGUUGUGUCACAGUAUUUUCUAAUAUUCAUACGUUACAUUUCCCAACUUAAUUGGAAUCCGUCAGUGCGUAUUCUCUGUUAGAGCCGUCACCACGGCAGUUGGGACGUUUUUACUGAGAUAAGAUGCAAUAAAAAGAGGGAAGUG
rnacentral:lncRNA from 8 species